AGUAGAACAUCAUAAUUAGAAUCAACAAGGGACAAUUAUUAAUUAUGAUAAAAAGGCACUGGUGAGAUUUUCUUUAUGAACAAGUAAACUAAUUACAUAAAGAAAUAGAGGUGAUUGAAGAAUGAAGAAGCUUAAAGAGAAUUGAAACCGUUUAAGGACCAAGAAACAAGGAAGAAGGGUAGCAGAGCAAGCGGCUCAUAGUUUAGAAAGAUCUGAGCAUAUAGCUUGCACGCAUGACAUUAUUAAGAAAUUGGGUCAUGGAAUACGCGGGAAGCA
rnacentral:lncRNA from 1 species